GGGCAUUUUGGGGACAGACUCUACAGUUUACUAGUGGCCCCAGGACAUCCUGCAAAAGAGGUGAAAUCAGUAUUGGAGAAGUGGUCUCAUGAAGAUGGGAGCACGACUACUACAAUUGACUGCUGACUUCUCACCCAAGGAAGUAACUGUAUCCCAGCCUAAUCUCAGUGGAUAAGCCCACAGGGUUAAGGAGUAAUCAUCAUGCUCCAUUUCGUUUUUGAGCCAUCUUCAGCCUUUGAGUCCUUAAGCUUUUUGGAGACAGUUUGUGGAGAAGGUCCUCACAACAUUGUGCAACAAGUGUGAAAGAUGUAGUCUCCAUUUACGGCUACUGAAAUAGGCUGAGAGAGGGUUUCCUAGACUUUCCAUCACCACCAGUGAAUUCUGAGUGACAAUAGUGUGGAAUUUGGAAGAAUGGAAGAGAAACUGAAGUGGAGAGAUGGUGAAAGAGAAGAAAAAAUGAAGAAAGAUGCUUGCAAAAAUACUGCUGUGGGUCCUGAGAUGAGGAUUCUGGGAGGGGACGGUCAGCGGGGAGCGGGAUCGUCUUAGACCAUGAGGGAGGAUGAGGUGCUGAGAGCUGGAAGAAUGAAGAGAAAAGUGGCCUGAUGAGGAGGUGGAGGUGUGAGAAGUGACAAAGAGUCUGUGAGGAGAAUGAGGAAGGGCAACCCGAGAAAUCAAGAAAAAUCAGGAGACAAAUCUCCUAGAAGCCAAGAAGAUGGUGGUAAACUAAUAAGUGAUGAGAGCAG
ensembl:lncRNA LINC02615 long intergenic non-protein coding RNA 2615